rnacentral:lncRNA from 1 species
UAAAAUCAAUUGUUGUUGAAUCCAACUUCCAUAAACAAUCCCUUUUCCUUUAACUCUUUCAUUGAAUCCUUCAGGCAAGGCUUCCUCAAUAGAGUCAAAUCCAUUAGGUGGCUUAAGUGCUGCAAGAAAUUUCAUUGAAUCCUUCAGGCAAGGCUUCCUCAAUAGAGUCAAAUCCAUUAGGUGGCUUAAGUGCUGCAAGAAAUGGAAAACCUGUUAACUCAAGACCAAGCAACAACUCUUGAAACUGAUUUUGUUCUAAUGGACCUUCACUUCCGUAAGCACAGAAAACCACAGAACCAUAUUUGAAUCCCUUAAGCCAUGAUUCCCAUUUUUCAUCUAAAAUAGUAUUUGGUGGCUCAGGUAAUAGAGGACCUGAAAGCAGAACAGGUUUUCCAAAAACAGUUUCAAUGUAAUCCGCAUAGGAUCCAUCAAUUUCAUUGCAACCUUUGAAUCCAAUUGCAUCUGCCAAGGUCGUACCUAUGUGCAAACGAUCGAAGAAGAAAACACCACUUCCAAAUACAAUUUUCGUUGUUGAAGCUAGGUAUCGAAGUUCGUGUGAAUGAAACUUGAUGCAAGAAUCAGGGAAUCCUGAUGGUGGUUUCAUAAAAUCAACUUCAGUUAACUCUUUUCCUUGACUUUGUUUUUGUAUACUUCCAAGAUAAGCUGUUGAUAUUGGAGUCAGUAUAAUGUAUUGGAGAGUUUUGAUGCCAAGGUUUCUAGUUAUGUUUGGUAGCCAAUAUUGAAAAUCAAAGAAAACUAUUUGUGGCAUUACCUCCCUCAAAAGAAGUUCAAUUUGUUUAUC